CGGACGGGUGAGUAAUGUCUGGGAAACUGCCUGAUGGAGGGGGGUAACUACUGGAAACGGUAGCUAAUACCGCAUAAUGUCUACGGACCAAAGCGGGGGACCUCCGGGCCUCGCGCCAUCAGAUGAACCCAUAUGGGAUUAGCUAGUAGGUGAGGUAACGGCUUACCUAGGCGACGAUCCCUAGCUGGUCUGAGAGGAUGACCAGCCACACUGGGACUGAGACACGGCCCAG
rnacentral:rRNA from 1 species